AUUGAACGCUGGCGGCAGGCCUAACACAUGCAAGUCGAGCGAGCGGCGGACGGGUGAGUAAUGUAUGGGGACUGCCCGAUAGAGGGGGGUAACUCCUGGAAACGGUAGCUAAUACCGCAUACUAUCGGCUAACCCAGAUGGGAUUAGCUAGUAGGUGAGGUAAUGGCUCACCUGGGCGACGAACCCCAGCUGGUCUGAGAGGAUGAUCAGCCACACUGGAACUGAGACACGGCCCAGACUCCUACGGAGGCAGCAGUGGGGAAUAUUGCACAAUGGGCGCAAGCCUGAUGCAGCCAUGCCGCGUGUAUGAAGAAGGCCCUAGGGUUGUAAAGUACUUUCAGUCGGGAGGCGUUACCGACAGAAGAAGCACCGGCUAACUCCGUGCCAGCAGCCGCGGUAAUAC
rnacentral:rRNA from 1 species